rnacentral:snRNA from 1 species
GUGCUCCCUUCAGCGGCACAUAUACUAAAAUUGGAACGAUACAGCAAAGAUUGGCAUGGCCCCUGCGCAAGGAUGACACGCAAAUUCAUGAAGCUCUCCAUAUUUUU